rnacentral:rRNA from 1 species
AACUGAACAAGUUUUGACGGUACCUAACCAGAAAGCCACGGAUAAUUACGUGCCAGCAGCCGCGGUAAUAAGUAGGUGGCAAGCGUUAUCCGGAAUUAUUGGGCGUAAAGCGCGCGUAGGCGGUUUCUUAAGUCUGAUGUGAAAGCCCACGGCUCAACCGUGGAGGGUCAUUGGAAACUGGGAAACUUGAGUGCAGAAGAGGAGAGUGGAAUUCCAUG